CAGGACCGGAUGGGUAUACAGCGGAGUUUUACAAAACCUUUAAAGAAGAAUUAAAACCAAUACUUUUCAAGUUAUUUCAGGAAAUAGAAAAAGAGGGAUCCCUUCCAAAUUCAUUCUAUGAGGCCAACAUCACGCUGAUUCCGAAACCAGACAAAGAAACCUCAAAGAAAGAAAACUACAGACCAAUAUCUCUAAUGAACCUAGAUGCAAAAAUCCUCAAUAAAAUUCUGGUGAAUCUGAUACAAAAACACAUCAAAAAAAUUGUGCACCAUGAUCAAGUAGGAUUCAUCUCUGGAAUGCAAGGAUGGUUCAAUAUACGGAAACCAAUAAAUGUUAUUCACCACAUCAAUAGACUCAAAGAUAAGAACCAUAUGAUCAUCUCGAUAGACGCAGAAAAAGCAUUCGACAAAGUACAGCAUCCCUUUAUGUUCAAAACACUAGAAAAACUAGGGAUAACAGGAACUUACCUCAACAUUGUAAAAGCUAUCUAUGCUAAGCCUCAGGCUAGCAUCAUGCUGAAUGGAGAAAAAUUGAAGGCAUUCCCUCUAAAAUCUGGAACAAGACAGGGAUGCCCCCUAUCACCACUUCUAUUCAAUAUAGUCCUCGAAACACUGGCCAGAGCAAUUAGACAGACGAAAGAAAUUAAAGGCAUAAAAAUAGGAAAAGAAGAACUUAAAUUAUCACUAUUUGCAGAGGCAUGAUUCUAUACCUAGAAGACCCAAAAGGGUCUACAAAGAAACUACUAGAAUUAAUAAAUGAAUUCAGCAAAGUGGCAGGAUAUAAAAUCAACACGCAUAAAUCAAAGGCAUUCCUGUAUAUCAGCAACAAAACUUCUGAAAUGGAAAUGAGGAAAAACACCCCAAUCACAAUAUCCUCAAAAAAUAAAAAUAAAAUAAAAUACUUGGGAAUCAACCUAAAAAAAGAGGUGAAAGAUUUAUACAAUGAAAACUACAAAACCCUAAAGAGAGAAAUAGAAGAAGAUCUUAGAAGAUGGAAAAAUAUAUCCUGUUCAUGGAUAGGCAGAACUAACAUCAUCAAAAUGGCAACUAUUACCAAAAGUUCUCUAUAGGUUCAAUGCAAUGCCAACCAAAAUCCUAAUGACAUUUCUUGUAGAAAUGGAUAAAGCAAUCAUGAAAUUCAUAUGGAAAAAUAGAAGACCCAGAAUAGCAAAAGCAACUCUAAGCAGGAAGUGUGAAUCAGGCAGUAUAGUAAUACCGGAUUUUAAAUUAUACUACAGAGCAAUACUAACAAAAACAGCAUGGUACUGGUACCAAAACAGGCGGGUGGACCAAUGGUACAGUAUAGAGGACACAGACUAAUGCACAAAGUUACAACUAUCUUAUAUUUGAUAAAAGGGCUAAAAGCAUGCACUGGAGGAAGGAUAGCAUCUUCAACAAAUGGUGCUGGAAAAACUGGAAAUCCAUAUGCAACAAAAUGAAAUGGAAUCCCUUUCUCUCGCCAUGCACACGUUAACUCAAAAUGGAUCAAGGACCUUGAUAUCAAAUCAGAGACUCUGUGUCUGAUAGAAGAAAAAUUUGGCUACGACUUACAGACUGUGGGGUCGGGCUCCAAAUUUCUUAAUAGGACACCCAUAGCACAAGAGUUAAUAACAAGAAUCAACAAAUGGGACUUACUUAAACUAAAAAGUUUUUUUUUUUCUCAGCAAGAGAAACAAUAAGAGAGGUAAAUAGGGAGCCUACAUCCUGGGAACAAAUUUUUACUCCUCACACUUCAGAUAGAGCCCUAAUAUCCAGAGUAUACAAAGAACUCAAAAAAUUAAACAAUAAGAUAACAAAUAACCCAAUCAACAAAUGGGCCAAGCACCUGAACAGACACUUCUCAGAGGAGUUCAUACAAGUAAUCAACAAGUGCAUGAAAAAAUGCUCACCAUCUCUAGCAGUCAGAGAAAUGCAAAUCAAAACCACAUUAAUAUAUCAUCUCACUCCAGUGACAUUGGCAGCCAUUAUGAAGUCAAACAACAACAAGUGCUGGCGAGGAUGUGGGGAAAAGGGUACACUUGUACAUUGCUGGUGGGACUGCAAAUUGGUGCAGCCAAUUUGGAAAGCAGUAUGGAGAUUUCUUGGAAAGCUGGGAAUGGAGCCACCAUUUGACCCAGCUAUUCCCCUUCUUGGUCUAUUCCCUAAAGACCUAAAAAGAGCAUGCUACAGGGACACUGCUACAUCGAUGUUCAUAGCAGCACAAUUCACAAUAGCAAGACUGUGGAACCAACCUAGAUGCCCUUCAAUAGAUGAAUGGAUAAAAAAAAAUGUGGCAUUUAUACACAAUGGAGUAUUACUCUGCAUUAAAAAAUGACAAAAUCAUAGAAUUUACAGGGAAAUGGAUGGCAUUAGAGCAGAUUAUGCUAAGUGAAGCUAGCCAAUCCCUAAAAAACAAAUGCCAAAUGUCUUCUUUGAUAUAAGGAGAGUAACUAAGAACAGAGUAGGGACGAAGAGCAUGAGAAGAAGAUUAACAUUAAACAGGGAUGAGAGGUGGGAGGGAAAGGGAGAGAGAAGGGAAAUUGCAUGGAAAUGGAAGGAGACCCUCAGGGUUAU
rnacentral:lncRNA from 1 species